UCAAACUUGGUCAUUUAGAGGAAGUAAAAGUCGUAACAAGGUAACCGUAGGUGAACCUGCGGUUGGAUCAUUACAGAAUUCAUGACCCGUGCGCCAUUUUAUAAUUUGGCCGGGUGCGAAUGGGUACCACCGCACGUGUGCUCUCUUUGGGCCGUGCGUGAGUGGGCCGUAAUCGCCAUACCCGUGCGCCAUUUAUAACUUGGCCGGGGGCGGAGGGGUCCCACCGCAUUCCACGAUUGCGCAGCACGUGCGUGGUUGAUCCUGAGAUGGAUUCUCCACUUCAUGGUCAACGGUCGCCGUCACCAGCUUAAUUUUCACACGCUUAUGUAAAUCUUGACUUAAAAAUUUUUCUCUUUUCUUUUUUUGUGAAAACAAAAGAAAAAAAAGGUAAAAACACAAACCAAUGAGAAACAACUUCAGACAACGGAUCUCUUGGCUCUCGCAUCGAUGAAGAACGCAGC
rnacentral:misc_RNA from 1 species